AAUGAAUGAUGACAAUUUGUUUCGGUCCCAGAUGAUAUGGUGAUUAAUGCAUUCCAAAGCUGACAUU
ensembl:snoRNA SNORD73 Small nucleolar RNA SNORD73